UACGUAGGGUGCGAGCGUUGUCCGGAAUUAUUGGGCGUAAAGAGCUUGUAGGCGGUCUGUCGCGUCUGCUGUGAAAAUCCGGGGCUCAACCCCGGACUUGCAGUGGGGUACGGGCAGACUAGAGUGUGGUAGGGGAGACUGGAAUUCCUGGUGUAGCGGUGAAAUGCGCAGAUAUCAGGAGGAACACCGAUGGCGAAAGGCAGGUCUC
rnacentral:rRNA from 1 species